CGCCGCUGUAUUACAUACAAUACGUACAGUAAAUAUAACUUCUAUUAUUAAUAUAAAAAUAUUGAUAAGAACAAUUCUUUUUCUAGUGUAUGAUAGUUGUGUCGAUAACACUUCUCUAGGAAACCUGUACACAAAAUUAACAUUUCAGCUUGCUUACUACUUAUUUACAGUUAUCAAUUUAUAAUUUCGCAGAACACUGUCAAUAGAUGGAAGCAGUUAACAGUAAAACUUCUCAAGGUUAAUGUACAGUUUCGUUUUAGAAUUGCGUAAAAGUACUUCCUUUAAUGUCUGGGUGAAGUGUAUGCUGUUUGUCUGUGUUACUACAGUUAGGACGAGAAGAUCAACCGCUUCUUAUUAAAAUAUUUCGAGAGGGAGAAAGGUCUUAGUGAGUUUUAUAUGUCAAGGAUGAAAUGGCUGCAAUAAAAACUGGAAGACUCAAUUCAAAGACCUAUUUCUAUGUAUAAAACGUAUUUUGUAUCACUAAGAAAUCAUUGAGGUUGAAUUAGAGAAAUGGCAGAAGCAGAAGCUCCAAGUGAGGAGAAUAAUGGCGUCGUUAGUCUUGUUAAUUAUAAACAAGUUGCAAAUGUAAGUCCAUAAAAUACAUUUUAUUUCAAUAUAAAUUGUGGAUAUACUUAAAUUAUAUUAAAUAACAGUGAUUAUUUUAUAAUGACUAAAAGAUUUUGUUUAAUUUUGUGCAAGAAACUGAAAUAUGCUACUGCAUUGUUAUUAGGCGAAUAUAUGCAAUGUUUCUUUAUUGACUUGCAAAAUUCUUUACACAUAUUUACGUCUAUUGUAGCCGCAAACAUCUUAACUUAAAACCAGCAGAAAAAUUAUGUUUUUUUCGUGUAAUACUUAAUGUAUUUUAAUAAUAAGUUUAACUGUAAUCGGUUAAAAAUAAGAGUUUAGGUUCUAAUAGUGAAUCCAGUCAGGCCCUGUUUACCAACUAACCAACAAUUUUAAGGGUGAGA